UUAGGAAUUUUGCGCAAUGGGCGAAAGCCUGACGCAGCAACGCCGCGUGUGGGAUGAAGGCCCUCGGGUUGUAAACCACUUUUAUCGGGGAAGAAUACUGACGGUACCCGUUGAAUAAGCCCCGGCUAACUACGUGCCAGCAGCCGCGGUAACACGUAGGGGGCAAGCGUUAUCCGGAUUUACUGGGCGUAAAGAGCGCGUAGGCGGCUGCUCAAGUUGGCUGUGAAAGCCCCCGGCUCAACUGGGGAGGGUCAGCCAAUACUGGGCGGCUAUGAGGGCAGUAGAGGAAGGUGGAAUUCCCGGUGUAGUGGUGGAAUGCGUAGAUAUCGGGAGGAACACCAGUGGCGAAGGCGACCUUCUGGGCUGCUUCUGACGCUGAGGCGCGAAAGCGUGGGUAGCGAACUGA
rnacentral:rRNA from 1 species